rnacentral:lncRNA from 1 species
UGUCAGUCACCCCAGGAACGUGACUCCGCUGUUUUCAGCCGAAGACUCUUUUGAGGACAGAAGCAAUAACCCCUGCGCACCAAGGGGCUCCUUCUUCAGGUCAGGACGACGCCACAAGCAACGAGAAGACUGAAACCCCCGCGGCGGGAGAGCAGGGAACCAGGUUUUUUCGGUGACUCUGUAUAUUUCUGAAGUGUGGCAUAACACUGUUACUGUGUACACUGUGGGUCAUCAGAGAGGAACUUCCUGUAAUUUAUUGAUCAGCAUAAAAAGCAUCAAGACAUUGACAUCUGUAAUAUGUAGACAGUAAACAAUAAUAGGGAAGGAAACAUGGGAAAGU